CGGCGGCAGCUUACCAUGCAGUCGAACGAUGAAGCCCUUCGGGGUGGAUUAGUGGCGAACGGGUGAGUAACACGUGGGCAAUCUGCCCUUCGCUCUGGGACAAGCCCUGGAAACGGGGUCUAAUACCGGAUAUCACUCUCGCAGGCAUCUGUGAGGGUCGAAAGCUCCGGCGGUGAAGGAUGAGCCCGCGGCCUAUCAGCUUGUUGGUGAGGUAACGGCUCACCAAGGCGACGACGGGUAGCCGGCCUGAGAGGGCGACCGGCCACACUGGGACUGAGACACGGCCCAGACUCCUACGGGAGGCAGCAGUGGGGAAUAUUGCACAAUGGGCGAAAGCCUGAUGCAGCGACGCCGCGUGAGGGAUGACGGCCUUCGGGUUGUAAACCUCUUUCAGCAGGGAAGAAGCGAAGUGACGGUACCGGCAGAAGAAGC
rnacentral:rRNA from 1 species